UGCUAGUCUGAUGGUAGUGGGUCCCCAGAAUUUAUUAAUCUUAGUGUCACCAUCGUUGGUAUACAACCCCCCCACUGCUAAAUUUGACUGGCUUAAA
ensembl:Y_RNA Y_RNA Y RNA